CCACAAAGCUGAACCUUUCUUCCUCCUUCAAAAACAAACCAAAAAACACCCAGAAUCAUUUUGGGAUUUAAUUGAGCUUAAAAGAGGUAAAUAUUAAUGGUGAUGAUAUAAUAUGUACCUAAAUAAGCUCUAACAACAUCCAUGUAAGUAUAGUUUCUUUUUCCAUGAACAGGAUCAGGAGCUCUAUAACAAUCAGCAAGAAGGGUUGAAGUGAAGUAGGUGAUGAAGGAGAAAGCUAUAAGGACCGCCGGUCCAACCACCCAACCUAACUGAGCAAUCGCCCAUGCCAGUGAUAAUACUCCAGACCCAAUCACUGCUGUG
rnacentral:lncRNA from 1 species